AAUCUGGUUUGAUAGUACGCUGCCAGUAGUCAUAUGCUGUCUCUCAAAGAUUAAGCCAUGCAUGUCUAAGUACAAACCUUAAUACGGUGAAACGCGAAAUGGCUCAUUAAAUCAGCUAAUGGUUCCUUAGAAUCGUCUCAUCCUACUCGGAUAACUGUGGAAAAUCUAGAGCUAAUACGUGCUUACAAGCCCUGACCUCACGGGAGGGGCGCGCAUUUAUUAGAUCAAAACCAAUCGGGGGCUUGUGCCCCGUCUGCUUUGGUGACUCUGGAUAACUUUUGUGUGCUGAUCGCAUGGCCUCUGGCGCUGGCGACGUAUCUUUUCAAGUGUCUGCCCUAUCAACUUACGAUGGUAGGUGAUAUGCCUACCAUGGUUUAUAACGGGUAACGGGGAAUCAGGGUUCGAUUCCGGAGAGGGAGCCUGAGAAACGGCUACCACAUCUAAGGAAGGCAGCAGGCGCGCAAAAUUACCACUCCCGGCACGGGGAGGUAGUGACCGAAAAAUAACGAUACGGACUCUUUUGAGGCCCCGUAAUUGGAAUGAGUACACUUUUAAAUCCGUUAACAAAGUAUCUAUUGGAGGGCAAGUCUGGUGCCAGCAGCCGCGGUAAUUCCAGCUCAAUAGCGUAUAUUAAUGUUGUGGGGCUGACCUGCAGUUAAAAAAGCUCGUAGUUUGGAAUCUGAGGACUUCGAAUUGGGGUGCACCAUACGGUGUUACUGCCAUUGAUUCGGCCUACCUAGUCGUGCUGCGUCUCUUGGUGUUCUUAAAUUGAAUGGCCCUGAGUGCCCGGCAAGUUUACUUUGAAAAAAAUUAGAGUGCUCAAAGCAGGCCAUUAGCCGGAAUACUUCAGCAUGGAAUAAUGAAUAGGACUUCGGUUCUAUUUGUUGGUUUUCGGAACCCGAGGUAAUGAUUAAGAGAGACAGAACGGGGCAUUCGUACUGCGGUGUUAGAGGUGAAAUUCGCUUUGGAUCGAUUGCCCGCAAGACGAAACAACUGCGAAAGCAUUUUGCCAAGAAUGUUUUCAUUAAUCAAGGAACGAAAGUCAGAAAGUCAGAGUUUCGAAGACAUCUACGGGCGCAGUUAGCUGGACCAUAAACGAUGCCAACUGGGCCAAGGCAUCCGAUCGAUUACCGUCCUAGUUUACGCCAUAAUACGAUGCCAACCUGGCCGAAUCCGAGAUGCGUUUGCUUUACGGCCUCGGCCGGCAAGCCUCCGGGAAACCAAAGUUUUUAGGUUCCGGGGGAAGUAUGGUUGCAAAGCUGGAACUGGGGCAAAAAAAAAGUGGCAAGGCAUUGCGAUCUGCGUUCCUGUCAAGGGUAAAAGAACCUGAAGGUCAGCUCUGAUCCCUA
rnacentral:rRNA from 1 species